UGGCAGAGGUUCGUGUAGCAAGAAAAGAGACACAGUAACCAGACCUUGUAAGGUGCGCUCCGGAGCCCCCCGCGGAUGGACUCGGUGAUCUCAGAGGUCUUUUCCAACCUAACCGAUUCUGUGAUUUGUUUCAACCGCUCCUGGGAAUGUCUGUUUGCUUCUUAAAGACUCAUGUGUUUACAGAAAUAAACCAGGGAAGUACAA